CAGCUCGAGCUCUCUCCCUCUCCCUCUCCUUCUCCUUCUCCCUCUUCCCCCACCUUCUCCCUCUCUCUCUGUGAAACAAUUAGGCCUAUCAAUUUCUUCGCCCCAGCCCGAGCUUGAAUUUUAGCCCAAUCUCUCAGCCCCAUAUCAGGCCCAUUAAAGAAUUAGCACUACAAGACUCGAAACAACUAAGAGGCAUAGGGGAGCCAUCUACUUCAUCGGGUCAAAGGCAAGAGGUAUGAUGGUCUAUUUGUUUUAGUUAAUGAUUUACAUGAAUUAAGUAUUUAUCAUGUUAUUUACUAUUAUCAUUUCUUAUUAAUUUUAAUUUUAGAAGAGAAUUAUACUUUGUAUCGAUGAAUCAACUCACACCCUAGCAAAAUGGAAGCUCGAUCAACGACAUGUAGCUCUUAUUCAAAAGACCGGAUUGAGCCCAUUGAUGAAUAUUGGCGUCUUGCAUGUCGAUUACAAUCUACUGAGGGCAUUUGUAGGGAAAUAGUGCAAGGCCACAAAUACUGCAUGUCUAACCAAUGGUGAAAUGGCUCCAUCCCUAUACGAUGUGUGACAGAUAUUAAGGAUACUUGUGACAAGCAAGCUUGUAAUCAGCAUCAGGCCUGAAAACUAUGUUGCAUUUGUCAAUGAGUAUCUAGGAGAUUGUCCUAAAGACGUCACCCCGAUUCGUAUCAAUUAUACAUGGUUGAGGAAGAGAUUUGAACAACUAUAAAAAAAAGCCCACCAAAUUAUAACUCACGCAAUACACACCUUUAUUUAGUUGGCACAACUAUAUUCGUCGACUCAUCUAAAGGAUCGACAUUUUCAAUAUACCUGCAAUUGUUUUGAGAUUUCGAUGAGACAGGGAAGUAUGCAUGGGGUGCUGCAAUUUUUGUAACAUUCCUUAUCUAACGUCGCAGACGGGAAAAAAAAUCAUUUUAGUGGGUCAGUGACCUUACUACAGGUAUUUCUCAAUAUCUUUAUAGUUUAUAUUUACAAAAUUACAAUUUCUUUGGUAUCUUACUUUUUGCUUUUUCUACAGUGCUGGAUCUAUGAGCAUUUUCGAGUUAUAGCCACCAAGCCUACAUUGGUCAUCAACCCAGGAAUGCCUAGAACUUGCAUGUAGAAGAACAACCACGCGACAAAGAUAUAUCAUUUGAUAACAUCUCGUUUGAUAUGGUGACCUGGCAACCAUAUGAGGAGUCAUCACAUGAAAUUGUAGAGUACUUCAUGUGCCGAUCAUACCUCAUAAGUUUUAACAUUACAAAGUACUAUAUGCCUGAUCACGUGCUGCGAUAAUUUGGGAAGGUACAAGGGAUUCCUAUUACACCACCCAAGUGUGAUAAGAGAGAGAAGGUCGGUAUACACCCAACAAAAUGGACUGAAGAGUUGAGCAUGCAGAUAAAAAAUUGAAAGCAACGAGAAUGUAAUGUGUCAAGGUAAAUUUGGUGGUGUAUCUAUAGAAGAUGGCCUGCUACAACAUGUUCAUACAAAGAUUUAUAAAAACCCCCAUGUGCCCCAUGUUGCAGACGCAAUCCCAUGUACAAUCCUCGACAAGUCAUGAUGACGAUAAGAGAUUGCUAUAUAAUUUAUUAUAUGUAUUUUGUUAUUUUAUUGUUUUAAUAUAUUUUAAAAUUAUGAAAAAUAAAACCAAUAAUCUAUUUUCUUUUUUUAUUGACUACUUGCAGCGGCAUACUUGUAUAGAGAUGCUACAAGCUGCGCUUAAUAGUGAAGUAUUAGCCUGGGAAUCCAGGCGUUAUGUAUAGGCCGCUCAUGAUCUAUUAUUGGGUAACACUUCUGUAGAGACAGGUGCUGAGGAGAUAGCGUGGACUAGGGGUGGAGAAGUGGACAGUGAAAGUGAGAAGGAUGAUGAUAGUGAAAGCGAAGAAGACCAUGAUGAUGGAGAAGACGAUGUUCAAAGCCACGAUGAUGGUGAGAGCAACGAUGAAAAUGAGAGAAGAACAAAGCAAAAAGGUGAUCACUUUAAAACACCGACGUUGCAAGAGGAAUCGAGUUGAAAUUUGUGAUCCCAAAGAGAUGGGAAAGUCUGGGAGGGAAUUUGUGAUCCUUUUUUUUAGUUUGAUAUGUAUGUUUGAAACAGAUGUAAAGUAAAAAAAAUGGUUGAUAUUGAUUUGAUGUUGAGUUUGAUAUGUAUUUUUUUAUAUUAAAAGGGAAAUGGUUCAAAGAUAGUUGGAUAUGUAUGUUCUUUGUCUUUCUUAAUGAUAAUGGUAUUUGGUUUCUCUCCCUAAA